CUACGGGGUGCAGCAGUGGGGAAUAUUGGACAAUGGGGGAAACCCUGAUCCAGCAAUGCCGCGUGUGUGAAGAAGGCCUGCGGGUUGUAAAGCACUUUCGGUUGGGAGGACUGCUUCUAGCACUAAUAUUGUUGGAAGUUGACGUUACCUUCAGAAGAAGCACCGGCUAGCUCCGUGCCAGCAGCCGCGGUAAUACGGAGGGUGCAAGCGUUAAUCGGAAUUACUGGGCGUAAAGCGCGCGUAGGCGGCUAGAUCAGUCGGGUGUGAAAGCCCCGGGCUUAACCUGGGAACUGCAUCCGAUACUGUCUAGCUUGAGUACAGGAGAGGAGAGUGGAAUUCCACAUGUAGCGGUGAAAUGCGUAGAUAUGUGGAGGAACACCAAUGGCGAAGGCAGCUCUCUGGCCUGAUACUGACGCUGAGGUGCGAAAUCGUGGGGAGCAAACAGGAUUAGAUACCCUCGUAGUC
rnacentral:rRNA from 1 species